AUGACCUCUAUACUUCAGAGGCAAAUACAGAGGACGCAGGAACAUAUGAAUGUGAAUUAAAAGAUCAAGACAAUUCACUUGGUAGGGAUACAAUUUCCCUGCAAGUGGCAGAUUCAUUUUCUUCUAAUGCCCCACCAUCCACCACCAAACCAAGCACCACUUCAAAGACGUCAACGCCAACUCCUAAAACUGACCGCAACAUAUCAGCAGCCUCAAGUAUCAAGAGCAAUGGUCUUUGGUGCGCGCUUAUGACAUGGACUUGUUUUCUGAUGUCACUCCGGAAAUACAUGUAAUAUUAGUUUAUAGUUUUUUGCAAUUUUAUAGUGACAGUUCCUGGGUACACAGCUUGGACAUAAAAUGUUUUUUGUUAUUCUUGUUUUAAAAAAAUAAUCAAGUUUGACAAUCAUGAUUUCAACAACAUGUCAGCAUUUUUUUCUGACAGUUUUCUAGGGCUUUGUCCAUUGCGCCAUUUUAGAUAUUUAGUAAUUUCAGCAAUCUGAUGAUCAGCCCGACAUUUAGUCAUGCUCAAUCUGUUUUGUAUUUACAUAAAAAUAUAUUAUUAUGCAGUUUAAUUACUGGACAAACCAGACAGUUAUAUUCUAUCAGGUUUUUGCGAUUUCCAACGUGUAACACUGAGUUAACCAUUGAAAUGUUCAUAAUUUUUAAGGGAAAUAGUUACGACCAAAUGGCAUCACUAAACGAUUGAUGCUGUCCACGUAUGCUGACUCCUUCUCUCCAAAACCAAAUAAAAGUGAGGCAAGAACUUGUUGUUCACCCAGGCCGUAGCCAACAAUUUCAAGAGGGGGUUCUUUUUCUGAAAAAGUGGACCUUUUCCCAUAAAAACUUCAUGUA